UACGUAGGGUGCAAGCGUUGUCCGGAAUUAUUGGGCGUAAAGAGCUCGUAGGCGGUUUGUCGCGUCUGCUGUGAAAACUCGAGGCUCAACCUCGGGCCUGCAGUGGGUACGGGCAGACUAGAGUGCGGUAGGGGAGAUUGGAAUUCCUGGUGUAGCGGUGGAAUGCGCAGAUAUCAGGAGGAACACCGAUGGCGAAGGCAGAGCUCUGGGCCGUAACUGACGCUGAGGAGCGAAAGCAUGGGGAGCAAACGGG
rnacentral:rRNA from 1 species